AUGAUACCUGCUGUGAAGCUCUCUCCGGCCGCCUUCUCUGUCACCAAUCAACGGUCUAAAUCAGCUUUUGUUCCGUCGGUGUCCAUUCUCAACAUGAAAAAAUUUGCGUCCUGCUCCCUUAGACCACUCUACCUCACAUGGCUAGAUGACCCACACACUUCCGAGCUGAAGCCUCGGAGGCAGCUGCUUGACUUCCGGUGUGCAGCUUCAGCGGCUGAUGACAAGGAGUCAAAGGCUGAGGUGUUGCCAGCCAGCUCAGAAGCAGCACAAAAGUUGAAGAUUUCAAUCUAUUUUGCGACUUGGUGGGCGCUUAAUGUAAUCUUUAACAUCUAUAACAAGAAGGUUCUCAAUGCUUUCCCGUAUCCCUGGCUCACCUCCACACUAUCCCUCGCCUGCGGCUCAGCGAUGAUGCUCUUCUCAUGGGUCACCUGCCUAGUUGAGGCCCCCAAGACUGACUUGGAUUUCUGGAAAGCACUUUUCCCGGUUGCUGUGGCUCAUACAAUUGGACAUGUUGCUGCCACAGUGAGCAUGUCAAAGGUGGCAGUGUCAUUCACACACAUUAUCAAGAGUGCUGAGCCUGCAUUCAGUGUUUUGGUGUCAAGGUUCAUUCUCGGAGAGUCAUUUCCGAUGCCUGUAUAUCUUUCUCUUCUCCCGAUCAUUGGUGGUUGUGGUCUAGCUGCUGCGACAGAGCUGAACUUUAAUAUGAUUGGAUUUAUGGGUGCCAUGAUAUCGAACCUUGCAUUUGUUUUCCGCAACAUCUUUUCGAAGCGGGGCAUGAAAGGGAAGUCUGUCAGUGGCAUGAAUUACUACGCUUGCCUUUCAAUUAUGUCCCUGGUCAUACUCACACCAUUUGCUAUUGCUAUGGAAGGCCCCCAAAUGUGGGCCACUGGAUGGCAAAAGGCUCUUGCAGAUGUUGGCCCCAACGUUCUCUGGUGGAUUGGUGCACAGAGCGUUUUCUACCACUUGUAUAACCAGGUGUCCUACAUGUCUUUGGACCAGAUUUCUCCAUUGACGUUUAGCAUUGGCAAUACAAUGAAGCGCAUAUCAGUUAUUGUUUCGUCAAUCAUUAUCUUCCGUACACCUGUCCGCCCUGUAAAUGCACUAGGAGCUGCCAUUGCCAUCUUUGGCACAUUCCUGUACUCUCAGGCAAAGCAGUGA
rnacentral:rRNA from 1 species